UGGGCGCGGUGGACGCCGCCAACUGCUGGCGGUGCGCACAAGUUCAGCGCUCAACUUCCCGCUCUUAACGAGACCAGGGAUCCCUUUGGAGAGGCCCUCGGGAGCCGGCGGCGGGGCUGGGAGUGGCGUGGGCUUCAGACCGCUUAGCUGGAACCGGGUCGGAUCGACAGCAAACCAUCGCAAAAGGCGCUAACGACGCUUUUGGUUCCUUCCCACCCAUCACUUUCUUUAUGUCGUUGGCAAUUCUUACCGAUUCGGAAAGAAAUAUGCUGCCAAAUAAUUGCUGGAAUGUAAACAAACUACCACGACCAACAGCCACAAUCGCCCGUCACAGGAGAGCAAAGAGCUGCCCAGUACCACGGCGCAAGCUUUUCAGCUGCUCCUGAGACUUUAAUUAAAGCAGGACAUCAGCUACUCACCCACUGGAUUUCUUCAGGACCUUCCACCUUGGGCAGCAUCAAGCUAGAUGGAAGAACCCGGGACUGCAGAAGGGUCUCCAGGUCCUCUUCGGCUAGACCACUGGAUACCGAGUUGACUCUCACACACGUUUCAGUUGGGCCCAGGUCAAAGUCUUCAAGAGUUUCUACUAUCCUCAGCCUAGCGUCAUUCUGUCAGUGACAAUAAAAUGUAUCUCCUAAGGUUAUUUAUCAUUGAGGGGAUAUGUUAUGUGGAUUCAGAUUCUGAGCACCAAGACUAUAUCUACACAUUUCCUGUCCAGCAGAUAGAUGGUAUUUGAAAUAAGUUGUCCAAUCUGAUAGACAAGUGAUUGAUUUCCAGAUUUCAUUCAAGAUAACAGAGAUGACAGCAACCAUAAUGCAUACUGGUGCAUUUCCAAAUAGUUCUGUGCUCUCACCCAUUAGCACUGUUUUUCAACUACAAAGGUAAAAUAACUGAUAGGUAACAUUACUUACUUAUUUUUUUAAACGAUUUUAUUUAUUUAUUCAUGAGAGACACACAGAGAGAGGCAGAGACAUAGGCAGAGGGAGAAGCAGGCUCCCUGCAGGGGGAGCUUGAUGCGGGGCUCAAUCCAGGACUGUGGGAUCACGAUCUGAGCCAAAGGCAGAUGCUCAACCACUGAGCCACCCAGGUGCCCUAGGUAACGUUUAUUGAGCAUUUAUUAAGCUCUAAGCAUGGUUCUAAGUCCUCUACCUGCAUUUUCUCAUUUCAUAAACAUAAGGAACUACAUAACAUGUGGAUAAUGGUAGUCUCGUCUGUCAGCAUAUUCACAUUAGGGAAAAAAUAAGGAUUUGUUUUUCUCUUUCCAUAUGUGUCAUGUUUUUUAGUCACUUAAAAUAUUUUUGCUACUGAGUUGAAUUUUGACAUUCAAUUAAGCCGCUCACAGGAAAAUGACACUCCAUAGUACAAAAAAACUCCAAUUUAUUCAGAUGGAAGGUAAUAACACCACCAAGAAAUCUCUUCAUGAAGUGGAGGACAAAUACAUUUUUUUCCCCUUGGAUUUGACAGUCUGUGCUCCAUAGUUAAGAAAAGCUGAAAGGUUGAAAGCCUGCUUCAGUAUAUGAACUAUCCCUAGAAAAAUUGUAUGAAACCAAACAUGUUAUUUAUUGGCUCUGAGUUGGAGUGUUGAAGGUGGGGUAGGGGGUGGGAAGAGAAAGGACACUGAGGAGCUGGGGGUUGGAGUCAAGAGAAAGAAAGCACUUGCGGUCAUUACUUCCUGCCAAUUUCAGUUUCAAAAACAAAUUCCUUCAACUUGCCAAAAGCCCUCAACAAAUUCUCAUUGUCAGAAUGAACACUUAUCAAAAGUAGUUUCAUUUGGGAAGGGUUUUUAUGAUACUAAUAAAACUUUAAAGCUUCUUACUGCUGACGAAUGUGGUUUAAAAAAAAAAGCCUGAACAAUAUACAGCCAUUUGAACAACAAUACUUAUCUGGGAAAUAGCAAGCCAAAGUGGAGACAAAAAGAGAAUUAUUAGAGCCGAUAUUGGGUCUAAGUCUAAUCAACAAGACAAGCCAGGACAGUAGAUUUAAAGCAGACGGAUGUAGGUCUACGACCGAGUGGAAACGGGGAAGGCUUCCAAAUGUGGUCUGAGUUAAACAGUGUGAGGAAACAGUGGCUUAGAGUUGUCAGGUCAGAUGGAAACAGAAUACGUAGACCAGUUUAAGACAGCCCUGUGGAGCCCUGAUUUACAGAACUCUGACUGCAGAUAAUUAGGCCAAGCUUAGACAAAAGCAAGAAAGAGCGCACACUAGCUUCUAAAGUGAAGGGCGAUGUGGCCAGCAGUGGCUUGAUUCCACAUCAUGCCGUUGGCUAUUCCACAGCUAUAAAACUCAUCUGCUUGCUCUACCAUGCCUUCUUGUUAUAUUCACUAAAGAGGAAAAUCCUGAAGGUGAAGGGUGGAAGUGAGCUCAGUAUCAUGGUUCCAAGAACAUCUAGAACUGUGGAGAGAAUGCCUUCAGCUCUGGCAGUGCAGGUAUUUAGAUCCAUGGCCUCCGAGAACCUAAAAUGUGUUAUGCUCUGUGUAGCCCGCACAAGCUACAAACUCAGGAUUGCUCCAACUUGUAAAUAUUUCAGUUUCCAGGAUUUCUUUUGAUAGCAGGUUGGGCUUGUCAAAGGGUCUCCUGGGACAAAGUAAAUAGAAAAUGGAAGGGAACUAAACUAGAUCAUUUAGCCUGAAAUGCAUUUUAAAACUUGGGUUACUCGAAUCAUCAUAUACGCUCUACUUUAAUCAUCCCGUGUGCUCGAGGUAUAGGAUCCCUGGCAAAGUCAACUUCCUAAAUUGUUCAUGUCGGUGUCAAACAAAAUCUGACCUCUAAGCUGUUUUGUUAUUUCAUUUGGAUUAGAAAGGGGCUGUUUGUUCAAAGCUCAUGUUCUAAACCUGUUUGUGAUUUUUAUCUAAAGUCAGAUUGCCAUGGUUUCAGCACAUUCCGGUUUACUUAGUAAAAUUCAACCUUUGUGAAAUUGGCUGCAAAUGAAGUACCUAAUUCCAAUUUUAGGCAUAAUCUGAUUAGUACUUUUCGUGUUAUAAUAAUGAAUAGUGAAUACUCAGCAUUUUGUUAGGCUUUUUUUUUUUCUCAGAAUUAAAACAAGCUCUUUCCACUUCAUCAUUCUGUACCUUUCCAAAAAAAGAUGAUGGCUUUGGAGGUAUAUUGCCACACAACACCCUUAUUAACAGGCUGCUGCUUGUUGCAAUUUACAUAAACUAAGUGUGCAUCCCUCUGCUAUGUAUCCCAAAAUAUCCAACAACUUCACUGAAUUUACACCAACCAACAAGUAUGUUGAUUUUUUUUUUCUUUUUAGUGCUUUAAUGGUGAAAUAUGUUACUGUGCUAGCAAACACACCCAUGCCAUCUGUUGGGUGAGAGGAAGGCAGUUUCUAAGAACAAUUAGGUUUAGUUCUGGGUGCUCAGCUAGAGAGAGCCACAGUCCACCCAGUUGUGAAAUGAAAGAAAUUCUGUUCAUUCUGAUCUCUCCCUCCUUCCCUCUCUCCCUCCCUGUCCCUUCUUCCUCUCUCCCUGAUACCAAUCUCUCUCUCUCACAGCUCUCUCCUUUGCAUCACCAUACUCCCUUCUCUCUCUCCCUCCCUCUCUCUCUCUCUCUCUCUCUCUCUCUCUCUGGCUCCUGUUUGGCCCUGACUAUCCUUCCAAUUUUUAUCUCAUUCGGGGGAUCCAUAAGACACAGCUUGGCAGACAACUCCUUCUCUGAAGGGCUAUAUAUGAUCUGCUGAGAUUAUUGGGAGGUAAUGUUUCCUGGCAAAAGAAGGAAGAGGAAAUCAAAGCAAAAAGAGGCCACUCAAAAAAAGACCUUUCUUGGGGGGCGGGGAGGGGGAGGAGUGUCUUAUAUUCUGAUGGCAAGACAGGUUGUUCAAAGUGAAGUUUAGAAGGAACUGCAUUCUAAAUGUGUUAACACUACAGAACGGCCUUGGUAAGCAUUUCUUAAUCUAUGAUGAAUUUGUCCCUCUAAAAUCUGUCAACCUGGAAAAAACAGAAUAAUGGCAUUAAGGCCUUUCUCAACAGUUCCAUUAGAUCUUUGCAGAGACUAAUUACUGAAGUAUGUUCUAUAGCAUGUCUGAUUCCAGAGGCGAACUUUGCAGAAGUCACAAAGAAAGUUGGCACGGAUCAGACUCUUCACCCGCCCUGUUCUAAAUGAAAAGUGGUGUCACCAAACUUCCCACAUUCAAUCGAUAUUUCGUGCCACGGACUGCUCAGUGCAGUGGACCAGUGGCUAAUAAACUUGUCCUUCUACAUAAGCCACCGUAUUAUGUGACUCUGUCUGGGCCAGGAACCAAGGCGUGCUAUGAUUUCAGAGACCCGGUUCUUAUCACCUGGGGAAGAGACAUGCUCCGGUGACGUAACAGAGCGGAUAAAUCAACCGUCGCCAAGACCUGCAGACUCCAAAAUUAAAGGAGAAAAUAUGCGUGCAGUUGGUUCAAUUGGCACCCAUUAAAGCUAAUAACUAAUCAUCCUCGCAAGUUUCUAGCUCAGAAUGAUCAAAUCUGCAAAGAAAACAACAUCCGUCCACUUUUACACUCCAGUGGAAGAGGUGGUCCCUCGCGGCAGGGCGGCACAGUCUCGCCAUCUGGAGAAUAAAUCGAGUGUGAAGUACAGUAUAGUUUGGGACCAAGCUCCGUGGCGGCAGCUCAGCAGUCAGUUCAUUAGUUCCCAACUUCCAGGGAUUAGAGCGGCAUCAAUUCUACUGUCGGAUAGGAAGAGACAGACAGGAUACAAGAUUCAAGGAGGAUUGUGACAACCAGGAGGAGCCCCUUGGGUUUAUUUAUAAAACUACAAAGUAUAAACAUACCCAAAUAAGUGCCUUAAAUAAUAGCAUUAUCACAGUUUCAUAACAUCUGAAUUAACACCUUUCCCUUCUUCCACCCCCCACUCAAACCUUGUAUGUUAAUGUAUAGUCCUUUUCAGGGGAAACCACAAGCUCGCCCUUGAUGCAACAGGAGCAGUGAGAAAGCCGAGCGGCCGAACCCAGAUUUGGUAAUUAAGAAAUAUGAAAGACUUUCUAGACUCCAGGGAGAUGCAUAAUCUUGGUGAUUUUUUUAAAAUGUGCAAUUAAUAUUUCAUCAUGCCAAAAGGCAAAUUGCCAUGCUACAUCCUCAAAAACACUAGUGAAUUCUAUCUUUUCUGAAUUUGCCCAUCUGAUUUCCAUUUUAUCUAAUUUGUAAAAUGAUGUCACACAGGCAUGGGGGUGCAACAAACUUUGGGCAGAUGGCCUUGCUAUCAGUAUCCAUGUGAAAUUUUUUAAACUUUGAGGUUGUUUGGUUUAAAAUACAAAACUUGGAGUGGACUUUUCCAUUGGAGGAGCUCGUUUUCCAUGUAACUUCUUUUAUAUAUUUAUGUUUUUAAAAAAGAAGUGCUUGUGACAUAAGAUAGGUCAUCACUUGUAAACUAUGUUACCGUAUUUUUCUCAUAAAAAUGUAUAUAAAUCCCAGAGACUGUUGUAGUGACUACAUUGGACAAAGGCUAAUAAAUUCCUCAUUAACUAACAA